rnacentral:rRNA from 1 species
AGAGUUUGAUUAUGGCUCAGGAUGAACGCUAGCUACAGGCUUAACACAUGCAAGUCGAGGGGCAGCAUGAUCGAAGCUUGCUUUGAUUGAUGGCGACCGGCGCACGGGUGAGUAACGCGUAUCCAACCUUCCCUAUAGUAGAGGAUAGCCCGGCGAAAGUCGGAUUAAUACUCUAUGUUUUCCAAUGCAGACAUCUAAAAUGGAACAAAGGUUUACCGCUGUAGGAUGGGGAUGCGUCUGAUUAGCUUGUUGGCGGGGUAACGGCCCACCAAGGCGACGAUCAGUAGGGGUUCUGAGAGGAAGGUCCCCCACAUUGGAACUGAGACACGGUCCAAACUCCUACGGGAGGCAGCAGUGAGGAAUAUUGGUCAAUGGGCGGAAGCCUGAACCAGCCAAGUAGCCGUGCAGGACGACGGCCCUGUGGGUUGUAAACUGCUUUUGUGCGGGAAUAAAGUCAGGGACGCGUCCCUGUUUGCAUGUACCGCAAGAAUAAGGACCGGCUAAUUCCGUGCCAGCCGCUGC